GGGGAAUAUUGGACAAUGGGCGAAAGCCUGAUCCAGCCAUGCCGCGUGUGUGAAGAAGGUCUUCGGAUUGUAAAGCACUUUAAGUUGGGAGGAAGGGCAGUAAAUUAAUACUUUGCUGUUUUGACGUUACCGACAGAAUAAGCACCGGCUAACUCUGUGCCAGCAGCCGCGGUAAUACAGAGGGUGCAAGCGUUAAUCGGAAUUACUGGGCGUAAAGCGCGCGUAGGUGGUUCGUUAAGUUGGAUGUGAAAUCCCCGGGCUCAACCUGGGAACUGCAUUCAAAACUGACGAGCUAGAGUAUGGUAGAGGGUGGUGGAAUUUCCUGUGUAGCGGUGAAAUGCGUAGAUAUAGGAAGGAACACCAGUGGCGAAGGCGACCACCUGGACUGAUACUGACACUGAGGUGCGA
rnacentral:rRNA from 1 species